UUCAAACACUAAGUAGGCACCUAAUCACUCGCAAUUUAAAAAUUAUCUGAUCAAAUACAAGCCAAUAUCUCGAAUGCUGCGUGCUCGUAAUAAAUUCAUACGAUAUAAAAAUUUCUUAAACAUCGAGAAAAUGGCAAAAUUUGACGAAAAACAAACUAAAAAAUAUUACAAUACAUUCGUGAAAUGGUAAAAAAAUCAGUCGCGAUUUAAUACCUUACGUUAAUUUUAAUCACAUUGAUUUCGCAAUGUUCUCAACAUGGGUGAUUUUUUGCACCAUCUUACUCGUAGAAUGCAGCACAGCAGCCAAUAACACAGCUAACGAUGUAAUACCUGUACGAAAAUCACAAUACGAUCGUUUGAUGAUUCUGCGACGAAACUAUUGGAAAGUGAAGACUAACCACGAUCUGAUCAAACAACACAUGAACCGACAGUAUAAUUUUGAUAAAAAUUUGCAGAAAAGCGAACUAAAAACAUGUCGAUUAAGGUUGCAAACCGAAAAGGACGAUUUUGAAACAAAAUUGGCGAACAUCAAGUCCGAAAUAAACUGGCUAACUCGAUACAGAUUCUUCAGCAUAGUGAAAAAUCAAAUCGCCGAAUACGAUCUGCACGCGAUUGAAUUCGUGCCCAAGAAAGAACUAGUGCUUCGAAAAUCAGAUCCUUUCAGCAAAGGCUCUCAAUCCGAAGAAGUACGUCGCCAAAGAUGGAAUUAUCUGUUCGAAUACCGUGCGGAUAUUCCACAAAUAGCAAAUAUAACCAGGGACCUAGCCUCAGCCGAAAUUCCACAGGCGGAUUUUAGUCAAAGAAUUGCCAGAGGAUACGAGCUGCUAUUGGAUCGCUUGAAGGUCGAUCAACUUCACGAGGUGGACUUUCUCGACACAUUGCCCGACUUCAAUCAAACCAUUGUUGGCGAUCCUCAAAUUGAUCAGUGUUUGUUGAUCUUAAUGAAGCAUUACGAUAAUGGAGAGUCGGUUCUUUGGCAAGAUUAGCUGAUAUUUUGUUAGUAUUAAUUAUUUUUCGUGAUGAUGAAGGAGGAGGGAGAGGAGAGUUCAAAAAGAAAAUUUCCACUUCGUUAUUCCCACAUUUGGGCAAAAAGGUACCUACUUCUUCUCUUUAAACUUAUCAAAUGUACUUACAAAUUAAAAAAUUAGAAUUCGUAAGUUCUUAUCAAAGCGACCAAAUAACCUAAAAUUUAUCUAAUUGGUGAUUAAAUGAUAUCAGAUGAGUAGAAUGCUGAUUUUUUUCAUACCUACCUACAUUUCAUCCAUUGAUAAAACUGCAGAGACCAACAAGUGAUAAAAUCUUUAUUCGAGGCAUUUAAUAAAAAAUUCAUCAAAAUUCAAUUCGAGAAAAAAAUUUGGCAAUUUGAAAAAAAAAUCGAAAAUGCAAUCUCUAUUUAUAAUUUUCCCGUUUAUUUUACUUCUCGACCAUAUCAAUUCGGUGAUAUCGAAUUCUACAACAUCCGAACCAGUGUUAUACAUGGUAAAAUCAAAAUACGACGAAUUGCUCAAUCUGGUGAACCUGAUCCCAGCAAUGCGAGAAAAACUGCGAUGCGAAAGAAACGUGAGGAAAAAGGAGGAUUCGGCCAAAUUGAAAACAGGUGAUAAAGAAAGACACGACCUUUAUAUGAAGAUAUACCAGCAAAAAGUCGACUACGAGCACACUCUAUGGGAACAAAGACAUUUAAAAAACUCUCUGAUCUACUUCAGAUACUUGACCAUUUUGCAAAACCACAUCGACGAUUUCGAAAGACUAGCGCGAUACUUUCAACCAGACAUGAAUCAAAUUACGCGAAAUUUUCCUACAAAGAUCAGCCAAGCGGAGGAAAUACGUCGUCAAAAAUGGAAUUACCUUUUACUCAACUACAACGGUUUUAUGGACGUUCGUGAUUUGAUCCUUGAAAUCGAUAAAGCUGAAAUAAAGCACUUCGAUUUCAGCGCGAAUCUGGCUCGAGGAUAUAAACUGCUCGCGCGCAAGCUUAAGCCAAAUAAGCUGCACGAAAUAUCGCCAUUACGAUUUUUACCCGAUUUGAGUAAAAAUAUCACCGGAGAUUUCGAGGCUGAUAGAUGUUUCGCAGCUCUUAUGCAAGAUUAUGCCAAGAAAACUGGCUCGAAACAUUGAACCACCGAAAUGAAAUUUUAUCAUUAUUUUUAUGGCUCGUUUACUUAUUUACUUAAUUUCGAUAGAGUAUUCGAAUUUCGAUCGAGAGAUCUACCAAAUUUUAAAAUUUGCAGAAGGACUUGACCAAUGAGCAUCUAAAAAAAUAUGGAUGAACUCGUACCUACAAGUGAUCUUUACAAUUGAAGAAGCAAAAAACUAUUUUCCAGAAAACGGAUAAAUGAUGCGAGCCCUUUUGAAGUUGGACAACAAAUUAUUGUCAAACGGAUGUUUUCCACCUCUCGGUACAAAAUACCCACCCGGAAGGCCCUUAUUUUGAAAGUUUGUUUUUUCAAGCUUCCGCCCUCUAAAAUUGUUGCAUUCUACUCGAAAAUAAUCCAUAUUUUUUAAUUUUCCAUCAAAUUCAAAAAAAGACGCGAACAAAAAGAAGAAAUUUCAAUAAAAAUUUGAUUAAGAAUUGUUCCUUUCUGUGACAAUAAAGUCAUCCACAUAUUAACCACCCCCUCCCCCCCCCCAAAAAAGAAAGAAAAUCCUUACACAGUCUUGCGGGAAAAAUCCCCAUUCCCCACCCCCAAGCAGAUAUCCUCACCCACUUGAAAGAAGAGAGAAAUACAACAAAAAUUGAACUUGAGCAAUGAAGACGAAUAAAAUAAUCCUUUCAAAAAACCUCUCAAAUCUCUCAGAACAUUAAAAAAACACCCAGAAAUUGAAUACCAUUUUUAGCACACUCACAAGGGAAGUAUCCCAACCAGCAGAUAAAAAUAUUUAAACGUACGACGGAAUCGAAAGAGGACCCGAAAUACACCAUCCGCAAAAAUUUCAGCUAUGUAAAGGGAGGAAUUGCGCCAUUUUCUGUCGUUUAGACGAGAGAAAAUUGUUCUCCUUCUACCUUUCACUCAGUUCUCUUACGUAACCACGCUAUCUAGCGGUUUAGUUCGUGUUAGUGAAGUGUUUCACGUUAUCCGAUCACAACUUCAGUCAACCACGGACUCACUAAGCGAGAGCUUAGUUUCCAUUCAAUAGAUAGGUCAAGGUGCGGAGCCCUAUCAGUACGUUCGACGUAUGGAGCACGUACUUUCCACCUAAUAAUUACUGGGAUAUGGAAUAUCUUUUACGUAAUGGACUAUUGGAUCGGAUCGUGGUUACUCAAGAGAUGAACUGCAGCAUCUUUAAAUUCUCUCACGAGUCAUUUAUAUCGGACCUGCCCUGUCCGGCAUAAAUGCCCUUGUCCCUGGGUGGUGUUUUCAACACGUAUUUGCGACUACUGUGUACUCGCUUCCUUUAUUCAUAUCGUAAUUCUAUUUACGUAAUAUAAUCAGACUAUGUACAUACAGUGCUUAAUUUACAAUAAAGCGAAUGUAAUGUUAUA